GCCUGUGUGGUUUAGUGGUUUGAGUGCUGGACUAUAUGACUCUGGAGGCCAGGAUUCAAAUCCCUGCUCAGCCA
rnacentral:tRNA from 1 species